UACGUAGGGACCAAGCGUUGUUCGGAAUUACUGGGCGUAAAGGGCGCGUAGGCGGCCUGCUAAGUCGAACGUGAAAUCCCUGGGCUCAACCCAGGAACUGCGUCCGAUACUGGUUGGCUUGAAUCCGGGAGAGGGACGUGGAAUUCCAGGUGUAGCGGUGAAAUGCGUAGAGAUCCGGAAGAACACCGGUGGCGAAGGCGGCAUCCUGGACCGGCAUUGACGCUGAGGCGCGAAAGCCAGGGGAGCAAACGGG
rnacentral:rRNA from 1 species